UCCAAUCUACUGUUCCCAAAAAAUACUUAACAGAGAAUGUCUUCUCUACCCAGCACUUUUGACCAUCCAAUACUUUUCAGUUUCAGAGAAGUUUACAAUCUAACAUCUGAGAGAUGAACAUAUACUCAUGACUCAAGAUGGCCAGAUCAAUUCCAUUGGGGUGAAUAAAAUAAGGCACUGUGGAGUUCAACCACAGAGAAGGCAAACAGCUGGCUUCUAUCUAGGACGGUGUUUAUUCAUUAUUUCACAAGUCUGUUUUCUCCUUUGCCCUGCUCUGUGCUGGGACAGACUGCUUCUCUGGGUUCAUCUGUUUGACUCUCUGCUUCUAGUUCAAACAGCAGAAGCCACCUGCAGAAGACAAAAAUAUGAAAGGAGUAAGGGUUUGGGUGCUUAUCCUGCCUGACUCCGCUUUAACACAGGUCUGAUGUUGAUGUGCUUCUCUGUAGCCACAGACCCUGUGGAGACGCAGCCCUUCCACAGCUCCAAGGUUACCAGGCUUCAGCAGAAACCCUGCCAGUCCUUGCUCCUUCAGGCCUGAGGAUAUAAGUGGCCUCCUCUGUUCCCCUAUUUUAACACUUCUAUGAAUAGCCCUUUUAUUAAACUCCUCUCUGAGAAAUC